rnacentral:rRNA from 1 species
UACGAAGGGGGCUAGCGUUGCUCGGAAUCACUGGGCGUAAAGGGUGCGUAGGCGGGUCUUUAAGUCCGGGGGGAAAUCCUGGAGCUCAACUCCAGAACUGCCUUUGAUACUGAAGAUCUUGAGUUCGGGAGAGGUGAGUGGAACUGCGAGUGUAGAGGUGAAAUUCGUAGAUAUUCGCAAGAACACCAGUGGCGAAGGCGGCUCACUGGCUCGGUACUGACGCUGAGGUGCGAAAGCGUGGGGAGCAAACAGG